GCUGGGUGCGGUGGUGCAUAUCUGUAAUCCCAGCAGCUUGGGAGGCUGAGACAGGAGGAUCGUGAGUUCAGUCAGCCUCAGCAAUGGUGAGGUGCCAAGCAAUUCAGUGAGACCCUGUCUCAA
rnacentral:sRNA from 1 species